rnacentral:rRNA from 1 species
UACGUAGGGUGCGAGCGUUAUUCGGAAUUACUGGGCGUAAAGCGUGCGCAGGCGGUUCGUCGUGUCGGUGGUGAAAGCCCCGGGCUUAACCUGGGAAUGGCCAUGGAAACUGGCGAACUGGAGUGUGGCAGAGGGGGGUGGAAUUCCGCGUGUAGCAGUGAAAUGCGUAGAGAUGCGGAGGAACACCGAUGGCGAAGGCAGCCCCCUGGGCUAGCACUGACGCUCAGGCACGAAAGCGUGGGGAGCAAACAGG